rnacentral:tRNA from 1 species
GCAUAAAUAAUUUAAAUGAAAAUAUUAGUCUUGUAAACUAAUUUUAAGAAAAACCUUCUUUUUAUGCU